AACGAACGCUGGCGGCAGGCUUAACACAUGCAAGUCGAACGCAUCCUUCGGGGUGAGUGGCAGACGGGUGAGUAACGCGUGGGAACGUGCCCUUCAGUUCGGGAUAACCCAGGGAAACUUGGGCUAAUACCGGAUACGUGCGAGAGCAGAAAGAUUUAUCGCUGAAGGAUCGGCCCGCGUCUGAUUAGCUAGUUGGUGGGGUAAUGGCCCACCAAGGCGACGAUCAGUAGCUGGUCUGAGAGGAUGAUCAGCCACAUUGGGACUGGAGACACGGCCCAAACUCCUACGGGAGGCAGCAGUGGGGAAUAUUGGACAAUGGGCGCAAGCCUGAUCCAGCCAUGCCGCGUGAGUGAUGAAGGCCUUAGGGUUGUAAAGCUCUUUCGUCCGGGACGAUAAUGACGGUACCGGAAGAAGAAGCCCCGGCUAACUUCGUGCCAGCCGCCGCAGUAA
rnacentral:rRNA from 1 species